UCUCGCAGUAUCUUUUCCUGGCAUUGCUGCAGUUGGGCUUUGGGUGAGGAAUCUGAUGCUCAGCAUGGGGUAUGGAGAGUUUCCCCAGGUCCCAGGACCUUCUGCAGCUCUCUGAUGGCUGACACAGCACUUCUCCACUGUUCCCUGGGACAAAGGGUCCUCGUUGAUUAUCUCCAUGGGAAGACCUGUCCCAUGAAAACUGUCCCCUCCACAAAGAAAACUUGCUACAGUAGCUCAAGAAGGCCAUGGUUCUCUGAGAAAAAAGACUGGAAAGGUAGCCUGAGGUAGCCUGUUUUGGUUUUGCAUGGCCUGUUUUUUGGUAGUGGAGGGCCACAGAGGUGGCUUCUGUGAGAAGCUGCUGGAAGCUUCCACCAUGCCCAGCAGAGCCAGUCCCUGCUGGCUCUGAAGAGGGACAGGCUGCUGGCCAAGGCUGAGCCAGUUAGAGAUGAUGGGAAUGCCUCUGUGAUAACAGAUUUAAGAAGAAAAUCAAAAGUAGUGGCACAGUUUUAAUUCUAGCCAGAGAAGAGGAGGAGGUGAGAACACGUGAGGGAAACAACAUGGAGACACCAAGAGACCCUAGAGGAACAACAUGCCACAAGCUAUUUUGCUGUGCUGAGAAGUCAAUUCCAGUCUCACAGUUGAAGUGAAAAGCUUGAACAUUUGACAUUUAAAGCAGGUAAAACGUUUCUUGUUUUCUAAGCCAAUUCCGUGAGUUAUAAAGUGUUUGACUUAGAUUUGAAUUCAAGAGACUCAAAGCAGUUCUAAAAAAACUUGGCUGCCAACAUUCCCCGUACCUGUAUGUAUUGAGUGACCUUGGUGCCCAGACACUGAUACCACAGAGACAGGGAGAUCUGAGGACUUUCUAGAAAUGAAUCCCUCCAGGGCAUUUGUCAGUCGGAUCCUGAACUGCUGAACACGUUUGAAAGAUCAGGGUUUCUACUGACUGUACAACUGCUAGUGUCAGUAGUAUUUUGGAGGAUGCUUCAUGAGCUGGGAAAUGUGAAUAAUUAGUUGGGCCUGACUGAAGCAGUGCCCUGGCAGCCUCCUGGAAUAUGCAGCUGGAGCACACCUAGCAGGGCUGUGCAACUUCAUUUUUGACCUGGCCGGCCAGACAUCUCAGGGCAUUUUUACUUUUAGGGCACUGUUUUUAAUUUCUUGUGUUGUGACCACAGUUCAAUACGGUGUGAAGGCACUAGCACUCUUUCUGAAAUUUUCUCCUUUUAGCUGAAUAUAUGGGUCUUGUCACAUAUAGGUAAAACCUUACAAAAGAAAGGCCUUGUAAAUUCAUGGUUCAGGCCUUGUUAUUUUGCCUAAGUAUAGCUAACAGCUAGCCUGAUAAGUUCCUGUGAGAAAAGAAUGGUAACAGUGAGAAUGAGCUUGCAUAUCAAUUUAUUCCUACGGAACUGAUCGCUCCUGUGAGGAGAAAGACUCUUACCCAUGAGAUAUUGUUUUUUACCUAGGAGACAAAUACGUAAACAUCAUUAGAGAGAAAAGUGAUGGACACUAGUCAUUACCAGCCAGUGAACUGAGUUACAAUAAAUUGCUGACCAGUUGGAAUUAAACACGGUGCCUUUUGAUAACCACACAACUGUGCAAUAAAGAUUCAGCAUGGUGCACCAAGAAACAGGUGUCUUUGUCCAUCUCUGUGAUGACAUUUACUUUUCCUGGUCUUUGUACAAAGGGCUCUUGUGUUAUUUGCUGCUGAAGAGACAGCUGCAUUGUGUUUACAUGGACAAAAAGAGACUUUUUAAUGUAAAAAGCUUAAAAUGAAUUUAUUUUGCAGGGAGAUAUUUGACAUGCCAAAAAGAAGGCAGUUUUAUGUCUAGGGUGAUGGUAGUUUAUUUUCACUUGUUAAGAGUGCAAUAUGAACUUGUUAAUUUGAUAGUGUUUGUGAGUGCUAUCUCUCUAUUUUAAAUUGUGACAAAUUCACCCCCAGACAUCUGACAGUGACUGCUCAACAUCUUUCCAUCUUAAAAAAUCAUUGUGGCAAAGGAGAUUUGACUCAGAUGUGUCUGGUGUAGAAUUCAUCUCUCUUCAUACAUAAUGCUAAAGGAAUUUGGUGAGGUCCUUUAUGAGCAAGGCACAGGUACAGACUGUGUCAUUGAUUAACAUUUCUGAAUCUGCCUGUCAGGGAGCAAUGAAAUUCUCACGUGGAGCAAUGCACUGGCACAUGCACAGGUCUUCUGCCAGUCCAUUUGCCUGGGGUGUAUAUCUCUCAACUGCCACAUUAAAAUUGUAAUGCCUGUAAUAAGUCCUGAAAUUACAGCCAUGGGCCAUAUUCUUUUUUGUCUUCUCAGUGUUCUGUUUGGAUUCAUUCCCUCUCCCAGUGUAGCCAGGCAGCCAGAAUGUAAAUAAAUGCUCCCUACCUGGCAGGUGCAGAAAGGUUAGAUUUGCAUAAAGGGGCCAGUGUAAAUUUCUUCUGUUUGUAUUCACUUCUCCAACUGGGAAUUUCAAGGCAGAAAUAAAUGUCAGGUGGAAAUAGCACUUCAGUGUUAGCAGUUAAUCUCCUCCUGCUAUGUCCCUGUGUGCUGCUCUUUACCACAUAGAUCAGCCAAUCUCCUCUUGUGUGAUCCUCUCAUUAUGGCUGUUCUGUUGUUGCUUUGCUUGCAAUCUUGACUUUUAUGUUUUCUCUUUGUAAAUUAAGCUCUUCUCAUCUGGUCAGUCACUCUACUGAAAUGGUUGUGCUGAAACAGUCUGCUACUGAUUUUGUUCCAUGAAUGGUCCAGUGUGUCUCUGCCCUCUGUUCCUGAGCCCACAUGAGUGAAGAAUCACAGACAUUCUCUUUUACGUGGUUCACCAUUCAGCAGUCUUGCUCAGGAGCUGUUGGCAAACUGGGGAUGCUGCUGCUGAAAAGAAGAAUGAGUGCCUCAUGGGUGGAUCAAGGUUUUCAAGUCUAUGAUCUGGACACUCACUCAAGAAUCUGCUGCUGGUGCAUUCUGUUACCUGUUAGGCUGUAAUGGUGGAAAACCCUUCAGUCAGUGGGAGCAGGGACUCCCUCCCCACCCCUGCUUCCCCACAUCCUCUGCUUUUAAGUCCCCCUGGCUGUCACUGCCCUGUGUGAGGCAGAGGUCUCUUUAACAACUCUAUUCUCCAUUACCAUCUCUCUGACAUUUUUUCAAGUUUCCCCUGCUUAUUCUGACUGUUCUUGAUAAUCUGCUCUAGCUGUGGUUAUUUUUUAAUUAAUCUUCUUCCACCUCUUCUCUUUCACAGACACACAGCCAUUGGUCUACAGUAAAGCUGUAUCACAGCUCAAUUCAAAUCAACCCUUGUCUUGUAAUUCGAGCAGCCUACAUUGCUUUGUUUGUACCCAACAAAGACACAUUUAAGUGUUCCUUGAUUCAGCCUGACUCAGAGACAGCUGCUCUUCCCACUGCUUCCAGUGAGAUUUAAACCAGCCCAUAACAAUGAGGCCCAUAUUGCCAUCUCCCUUCUGC